rnacentral:rRNA from 1 species
UACGUAGGUGGCAAGCGUUGUCCGGAUUUACUGGGCGUAAAGGAUGCGUAGGCGGACAUUUAAGUCAGAUGUGAAAUACCCGAGCUUAACUUGGGUGCUGCAUUUGAAACUGGGUGUCUAGAGUGCAGGAGAGGUAAGUGGAAUCCCUAGUGUAGCGGUGAAAUGCGUAGAGAUUAGGAAGAACACCAGUGGCGAAGGCGACUUACUGGACUGUAACUGACGCUGAGGCAUGAAAGCGUGGGGAGCAAACAGG